AAAACUCAGCUUUGCCCCUGCACAGAGUUUCCUUUCCCGGGGCCCGCUGGGGAAGCAUCCGCGGCUUGUGGUGGCUGUGGUUUGGUGCCCAGGACCUACACGUAAAAGGAGCUCAUUCGGAGCCAGGGGUACGCGCUUGUCCCCAGAGCUCAAACCCCAGAGUCCCUCCGGCAGAUGAGAGUGGAGGCUGUAAAUCACCCUCUAUGCAAUGGCUUAUCAUAAAGGAUAUGGAGCAAAAUUAGAGGAGGCACGAGAAGGAAAGCUGGUGAUGAACAAGGAUUUGCCUCAACUACAGAGACAGCCAUGGAACACGCCCUCCUGGGCUGCUCACAUCCUCAUCUGCAUGGGGGCACAGAAGCCCGGCCAUUCAUCCCACGGGAGACUCAGGACAUGCUCCCAGCAACCUGCUGGGCUACCCAAGGCUUGGCUGAUCCUAUAUCCCUGCAUCACAUCUCAGCUUCUCCCUCUGCCCAAAUCUACUUCCUCCCCAUUCCUUUCACAGGCAUUGAUUCCCUGAUAAACACCUUGCACCCCAUAUUCCAUCUCAGAGUCUUCUUGCAGAGAACCCAACCUGUGGUAGAGCUGAUCUCAGGACUCAGAGACAGGGAGCAGGGAAAGAGGACAGGAAAGCAGGGAGAGUCAAUUUAAGGGUAUGUUGUCUGAGACAAAGAUUCUGCUAGGACCUCUGAGAUGGGUACAAGAUGCCUGGAGCCUUUCACUGGGCAGUAUCUGUCCAUCAGCUCCCGGGCCGCACAGAACCAGAGCUGCCUGUGAGGGCUUUCACUGCCCUGCAUUUCUGGGCUUCACAUAUGCACUGGCUGAGAGGCCUCCCUGUCUUCAAGGAUGAUCCUGAGCAGAAAGUGGGUGCACUUGAGGUGGGGUGCUGUUGCGAGAGUCUGAACUUUAUGAGAAGCAGACCCAGGGGGCAUGGUGUGGGGCAUCCCAAAGGACCUGCCAUACAUUAGGUGCCUUGGUCUUUGGGAGGAGCCCUCGGGAGUUCUGAGGGUGGGAGAAGAGGUAGGUGGGGUUAAUCCUUUCCCAUUCCCUCCCUGCCUCAGCACCAUGGCUCAGGCAGUAGCGCUGACAGCUCUUCCUGGGAUCAGAGUCAUGGCCCCGCUCCCCUUGUCCCUGCAGGCUGAGGAACAUAAGGGCUUCCCAUGGUUGCUGGUGUCUGAGUGCCACAACCUACCUUGCUGGUUCCUUUCCCCUGCCCACACCUUUGUCAAUAGUUCCCCCCACUGAAGUCUCUUUGGUUGAGCAGUUGGUGGGGAUGCUGACUGAUAAAGGGGUCUAGGCCACUGCUCACUGCUUAAAGCCUUGCUUCAGAGAGACCUUCCAGGGCCCUGCAGCUCCCCCUUCUCCAACCCCUCCAACCCCUCCAACCCUUCUCCCUCCCAGCUGGUCUGGGUUCCCUAUGGCAUCUACUUGCUUUGGAAUCUAUUUCUUAUAGAUACAUGUGUGUCCUCCUCUUUCACAGCCUUACCUUUUCAUAUGGAGGAAGAAAAAACCCAUUUCUAUAAAGGUAUUAAAUGUUUUCCUUUCACAAACACCAGUUUUGUACA
rnacentral:lncRNA from 1 species